rnacentral:rRNA from 1 species
GACGAACCGUGCGAACGUUGUUCGGAAUCACUGGGCUUAAAGGGCGCGUAGGCGGCCGGGUUGGUCGUGGGUGAAAUCCCCCAGCUUAACUGGGGAAUUGCCUACGAUACUGCCGGGCUAGAGGACGGUAGAGGCGAGUGGAAUUCCCGGUGUAGCGGUGAAAUGCGCAGAUAUCGGGAGGAACACCAGUAGCGAAGGCGGCUCGCUGGGCCGUUCCUGACGCUGAGACGCGAAAGCUAGGGGAGCGAACAGG